UGAACAUGCAGUCGAGCGAGUAAGUCUCCGCAAGGGGAUGAGUACAGCGGCGAACGGGUGAGUAACACGUGGGCAAUCUACCCUAUGGACUGGGACAACCUCGCGAAAGCGGGACUAAUACCAGAUAAUAUCCCGAAAACAUAAGUUUUCGGGACCAAAGAUGGCCUCUGCUUGUAAGCUAUCGCCAAAGGAGGAGCCUAUGGCCUAUCAGCUCGUUGGUGAGGUAACGGCUCACCAAGGCUAAGACGGGUAGCUGGUCUGAGAGGACGACCAGCCACACUGGAACUGAGACACGGUCCAGACUCCUACGGGAGGCAGCAGUGGGGAAUAUUUCGCAAUGGGGGCAACCCUGACGAAGCGACGCCGCGUGGAGGACGAAGGUCUUCGGAUUGUAAACUCCCGUCGGGCGGAACGAAUUUUCCGGAGGUAAAUAAUCUUCGGAUUUGACGGUACUGCCGAAGGAAGCCACGGCCAACUCUGUGCCAGCAGCCGCGGUAAUACAGAGGUGGCGAGCGUUGUCCGGAUUGACUGGGCGUAAAGGGCGCGUAGGCGGCUUGGUAAGUCAACCGUAAAAUCUCUGGGCUUAACCCAGAGUUCGCGAUUGAAACUGCCUUGCUUGAGUAUAGGAGAGGAGAGUGGAAUUCCUGGUGUAGCGGUGGAAUGUGUAGAGAUCAGGAAGAACACCGGUGGCGAAGGCGGCUCUCUGGUCUAAUACUGACGCUAAUGCGCGAAAGCUAGGGGAGCAAACGGGAUUAGAUACCCCGGUAGUCCUAGCCGUAAACGUUGGAUACUAGGUGUAAGAGGUAUCGACCCCUCUUGUGCCGCAGGUAACCCAUUAAGUAUCCCGCCUGGGGUAGUACGGCCGCAAGACUG
rnacentral:rRNA from 1 species